rnacentral:tRNA from 1 species
GUGCCUAUAGCUCAAUGGUAGAGCGCUUCCCUGUGGAGGAAGAUACACGGGUUCGAUCCCCGUUAGGCACC